CUUGGGCAACCUGGAAAGAAGGCAAAUGAGAAGGAGAUUCAAUGGGAAACAUUAGGAAAAAGGAUCACAAGCAGGAGGUAAAGGUGAAGCAAACAAUGGUUGGAGUUAACCCAAAAGGAAGAGAAAUGGAGAAGAAAUCCUGUAAGAAAGAAUGGAACAGAAUUGGAAGCUUGGGCACCCUCAAAAACAGCUGGUCUGGAUGGAGGAGGAAAGGGGAAAGGAGUGGGGAAAAGGUGCAAUUUAUUAGUUUCAGUUUGCUUUUCAAAAUAGUAAUUAUGCAAAGGUGUCUUAGUAUCCUGUACUGCGGUGUGAAAUGAUGGCAAUAGAUUAUGUUUGGCCCAUCUGCUACUGUUCUUCCCUGGCUUUUAAGAAGAAACACUGCACAUUACCUCAUACAGUUGACAUGAAAAGUAUUUCCUUUGUAUCUUUUUUUUUUUAAAAAAAGGUAAGCUGAGAGGGAAAGGGGGGGUGUAUUACUAUAACUUAGCCUCAGAUGAUAAGACAGAUGAUAUCAAGCAUACCUCCCCCAACCCUUGUUAGCUAGCUGUAGCACAAAUGCUAUAAAUAUUUCAGGUCUCCUCCCCUCAGGAAUGAAGCUCUGAUUCCUUCACAUCUUGAAGGUGCUCCCUGUUUGCAUUUUUUAAGGUAAAAACAUCAUCAUGCAUGAAAGUGCCUGGCCGUGGUAGAUCUGAGACAAACAUGGCAAUGUUACAGUUUUCACUCAACUGGGGACACUGAAAUCAGACUAAAAAUCUAAAAAUUCAGUCCUCCCCAAGAAACAAGGCUGGGUGUAUCUUAAGUAGCUGAAAACAACCUACAUCAUCACACACACACAUAUAUAUGCGUAUACACACACAAAUCUAUUUUACAAUGUCUGAACACAAAACCACUUGAAAGCUUUUAACCUCUCCCACAAGACUAUACAAUGUUUGAUUUUAGGAUCUAAAUAUAAUCAUCUCUUCUAAAAGUCAAAGGUGUACAAUAUACAACCAGAAAGCUGCAGAGUGUCUCCAGCGAUAAGCUCAAUGCCACGCUGACUCUCACUGUUGCAGAACACUGGCCUGGCUAUAAGGAUCACAGCCUCACAUGAUUCCCUUUGCAUCCACUGGAUUUAGCCUCUGAAAAUCAAAAGGUGUUUGCUUCUGAAGACCAAAAUGGUUUUCUCUUUCACAUACUUGUACCUGAUUUUUUUCCUAGAGUAAUUCAUAUCGCGUUCACAGGUGGUGCGAAUGAUUUCCUAUUUAUCCUUCACCGUGGCCAUUUAGAAUGAAUCUUAAUGGAAGACAAAAUGAUGAAUCGUAACGUGAGGAGGGAACACAAAGCACAGGUCUGUGAAAUGACAAAUGUAAAGCUAUCUGGAGAAGAAGGAACCACUGAAAGAGGUCUCUGAAUCUCUGUUCAGCAUCAGCAGAAGAACGUUUAGCCUUGUGGAAAAAGGCUACAGCCAGACAAGGUGUUACAGUAUGCUGAUUGUAAUUACUCAUAUUCCAACACCAGACCUGAGAAUGAUAUUAUGCUUUGCUGGAAAAAUGUCACAGUUGACAAACAAAACUAUUAUGUGUCACAUAAUUUGAUUGCUAGAAGCUGCACGGAGCCCAACUGCUGAUGGAAGGAAGCUCCAUGGCUUUGCAAUGAAGUUGGGGAAAAAGCACUGGCAGAUUGGUUCUCACCUCACCCGUACUGAGCAGCUGGCACCUUGAUGCCUGACUGAAAGGCCAAACCCUCCUCUUUUCUCCCAAGGAAGAGUGUUAAAACAUUCAGCUGGAGUUGCAAGUUGUAUCAAUUCUGUUUAUUGGAACAACAGCAUCAGUUUUCCUGCUUUUGAAAGUUUAUAGAGCUGAUGUAAAGGCAAUGGUUAUGUCCCCAGAGGCAGUUUCGCACCCUCUCAAACACCAAACAUGUUUUAACAUACCUCAUGCCUACAUGUAAAGGUAUAUAACUGGGUUUUCUGUCAAGUCCAUGGGAUGAACUCUGCCCCUCUGGAAAAAUGGCCAGUUCUUGAUACAAGAAACCACACAAUGCACAUGAUCCUGUACCUAGGCACUAAGCCACCAAGCACUACCAAAACACAAAUCAAUACAUAAUAAUGAUAAUAUAAUGAUAGGGAAAACAUCUAUUAAUUUAUAUUAAUCCCAUUCAAUUCAUUAUAGAUUAACUGGAUAAAGCUUUAUGGGACAUACAUGUCUUUAGUAUCUUUUGUAACACCAAAAUGGGUCAAUGAGCUUUCAGACCCCCACCACAGGCCUGGAGAGAAGACAUCCCAAACUCAAAGUCCAAAUAGAAGAUCCAGGAAAGAAAGAUAUUCAAACAUUUUGAUAUAUAUUUUGAUUACUGAGAUUUCCAGGCUUCAUGCUAUUGCAAAAGAAAUUAAUGUUUUCAUAGAACAAAAAAGCAUCCAUGGACAGCUUUCCAUAAAGGCUGGCAGACUGAUGUGUUACACACACAUUUACAUUUCAUGGAAGUUGAAAGCACAUUUAUCUAAGUCAUUUCUGUUAUACCCUCUGACAGCUCUUGAAAAUUGCCAGGCUAGGUUUUUGUGUUUGAUCUUUCGACAUUAUUGGAGGUUGUAUAAACAGGAAGCAAUGAAUAGUUUCAGCAUCAAUUAAGAUAAUUCUAAACAAA